GUGAAUACAGUUGUCUGUGUUUUAAAGUUGUCUAUUUAAAUUAAAAUAUUGAUAUUCUUUUGAUUAUACAGGUUUACAAAAAAAUACAUUUCGGACUAUUUGACGAAACCAUAUGACUAGGGGGGUUUUUGGGGUCGCUGGUUACGAAUCCGGGGUUCGCUAACCUCUAUCACGUCAGGUAAAGGCCAUUUCAAGGACAAAUCAAGACAAAUCGACAGUCGCUCUGAAAAAGUAUAUUAGGAGGGUUUUGGGGUCGCUUAUAACGAAUCCAGGAUCCGCUGACCUCUAUCACGUCUAGCUGAAGGUCAUUUCGAGGUCAAAUCAAGAUAAAUCAACACAAUCGCUGUGAAAAAGUAUAUUAGGGUGUUUUUGGGGUCCCUGAUCACAAAAAUGGGGCCUGUUGAGCUCAACCACGUCAGGUAAAGGCCAUUUCAAGGUCAAAUCAAUUUUGUUAACUCCUCCUGAUUUGAACUUGAAAUGACCUUUACAUGACGUAGUAGAG